rnacentral:lncRNA from 1 species
CGGCGGAGCGGGCUGCGCUCCCCGCGGCUGCGGCGGGGCUUCACCCCGCUUCGUGCGGCCCCAGCGCCCGCCCCAGGGGCCGCGCCCGGCACCUCCUCGGCGGGGCUGCUGUCCCCGGGACGCCGUGACGGCUGUGCGCUCCCCGCCCUUCUCACCGCCCCUCUCCCCUUUCCUCCUCCUCCUCUUCCUCCUCCUCCUUCGGGAGCCUUGCCUCCCCUGCACACCUGCCUUGCCAUUUGUCGGCGGCUUUGCUAGGAGGGAAGAAUUUUCCCUCGGUCCCUUACAGCAUCCCUCCCCGGCACACACACACACACACACACACACACAUACACGCACGCUCACACAGCCGGACGGGCAGAGGCACCGCGCUGCCCGUGCCUCGCUGGCCGCCGCCUCUCCGCACCUCGGCCCCGCGCUCCUCGCCGCCGCGGGGCGUCCUCCGCCUGCUGCAGCGCCGCCGGGCCCGGCAGCCGCCGAAGGGGGGUGGCGGCGGCGGCUCCCGCUGCUCCGCGGCCCCGCACCGGCAGCGAUCUGCAGCCUUCCAAGAUGAGCUGGUAAAGUUUUUUUCUUUUAAUGUAUGUUAACAGAGACUUUCUGGUUAAUUAACUGCAAAUCCUUGUGCAAGCUUAGAAGGACUGGAACUUUGUGCACGUGUCCUGCUGUCAUCCUCAUGCUCUCUGAAAUCACCGAGGAGUUUGGUGCAGAAAAACUCGAUGCUUGGCCAGAGCCCUGCAGAUUUGGUGA